rnacentral:rRNA from 1 species
ACAGCAGCCGCGGUAAUACAGAGGGCGCGAGCGUUGUUCGGAAUCACUGGGCGUAAAGCGCGCGCAGGCGGGACGACAAGUGGGGAGUGAAAUUCCGGGGCUCAACUCCGGACCUGCUUUCCAAACUGUCGACCUGGGGACCGGUAGAGGCCGGUGGAAUUCCCGGUGUAGCGGUGGAAUGCGUAGAGAUCGGGAAGAACACCCGUGGCGAAGGCGGCCGGCUGGGCCGGAUCCGACGCUGAGGCGCGAAAGCGUGGGGAGCAAACAGGAUUAGAUACCCUGGUAGUCCACGCCGUAAACGAUGGGCACUAGGCGCUGGGGGGAGCGACCCCUUCGGUGCCGUAGCUAACGCGCUAAGUGCCCCGCCUGGGGAGUACGGCCGCAAGGCUGAAACUCAAAGGAAUUGACGGGGGCCCGCACA